rnacentral:tRNA from 1 species
AGAGGUAUGGCUCAGUGGUAGAGCACCUGCCUAACAAGUACAAGGCCCGAGUUCAAAACCCAGUAUUACCA